rnacentral:misc_RNA from 1 species
GAUGAAGAACGCAGCGAAAUGCGAUAAGUAAUGUGAAUUGCAGAAUUCAGUGAAUCAUCGAGUCUUUGAACGCACAUUGCGCCCCCUGGUAUUCCGGGGGGCAUGCCUGUCCGAGCGUCAUUGCUGCCCUCAAGCACGGCUUGUGUGUUGGGCCCCCGUCCCCGAUUUCCCCCGGGGACGGGCCCGAAAGGCAGCGGCGGCACCGCGUCCGGUCCUCGAGCGUAUGGGGCUUUGUCACCCGCUCUGUAGGCCCGGCCGGCGCCAGCCGACACCCAACUUUAUUUCUAAGGUUGACCUCGGAUCAGGUAGGGAUACCCGCUGAACUUAAGCAUAUCAAUAAGCGGAGGA